GGAAGGAUGGCCGAGUGGUUGAUGGCACCGGUCUUGAAAACCGGAGACUGGGAAACUGGUCCGGGGGUUCGAAUCCCUCUCCUUCCGCCA
rnacentral:tRNA from 1 species